AAUGUCGGCCGUAACUAUAACGGUCCUAAGGUAGCGAAAUUCCUUGUCGGGUAAGUUCCGACCUGCACGAAUGGUGCAACGAUCUGGGCACUGUCUCAGCCAUGAGCUCGGUGAAAUUGUAGUCGCGGUGAAGAUGCCGCGUACCCGCAACGGGACGAAAAGACCCCAUGAACCUUUACUAUAGCUUCACAUUGGUAUUGGGUAAAUGAUGUGUAGGAUAGCUGGGAGGCUUUGAAGCUGUGUCGCUAGGCAUGGUGGAGCCGUUGGUGAAAUACCAGCCUUUAUUUAUCUGAUGCCUAAUC
rnacentral:rRNA from 14 species